CGGGCGAGGUGCCGGUCUAAGUCCCUUGGAACGGGGCGUCCGAGAGGGUGAGAAUCCCGUAUGCGACCGGUGGCCGAGCCCAUGUGAAACCCCUUCGACGAGUCGAGUUGUUUGGGAAUGCAGCUCAAAAUGGGUGGUAAAUUUCAUCUAAAGCUAAAUACCGGCCAGAGACCGAUAGCGCACAAGUAGAGUGAUCGAAAGAUGAAAAGCACUUUGGAAAGAGAGUCAAACAGUACGUGAAAUUGUUGAAAGGGAAGCGCUUGCAACCAGACCUGCCCGCGGGUGAUCAACCGUCCUUCUGGGCGGUGCACUCGCCCGCGAACAGGCCAGCAUCGGUUCGGGCGGUCGGAUAAAGGCCUUGGGAACGUGGCUCCCCUCGGGGAGUGUUAUAGCCCUCGGUGCAAUGCGGCCUGCCCGGACCGAGGACCGCGCUUCGGCUAGGAUGCUGGCGUAAUGGUUGUAAGCGGCCCGUCUUGAAACACGGACCAAGGAGUCGACCAACUAUGCGAGUGUUUGGGCGUCAAACCCACACGCGCAAUGAAAGUGAACGGAGGUGGGAACCCCUCGCGGGGCGCACCAUCGACCGAUCCAGAUGUCUUCGGAUGGAUUUGAGUACGAGCAUAGCUGGUCGGACCCGAAAGAUGAUGAACUAUGCCUGAAUAGGGUGAAGCCAGAGGAAACUCUGGUGGAGGCUCGCAGCGGUUCUGACGUGCAAAUCGAUCGUCAAAUUUGGGCAUAGGGGCGAAAGA
rnacentral:rRNA from 1 species